AACGAACGCUGGCGGCAUGCCUAACACAUGCAAGUCGAACGAGACCUUCGGGUCUAGUGGCGCACGGGUGCGUAACGCGUGGGAACCUGCCCUUAGGUUCGGAAUAACUCCCCGAAAGGGGUGCUAAUACCGGAUAAUGUCUUCGGACCAAAGAUUUAUCGCCUUUGGAUGGGCCCGCGUUGGAUUAGCUAGUUGGUAGGGUAAAAGCCUACCAAGGCGACGAUCCAUAGCUGGUCUGAGAGGAUGAUCAGCCACACUGGGACUGAGACACGGCCCAGACCCUUAGGGGGGGAAGAGGGGGGAAAUGUGGGAAAAGGGGAGAAGGCCUAACCAACCAAUGCGGGGUGGGUAAUGAAGCCCUUAGGGUUGAAAGGUUUUUUUCCCCGGGAGGAAAAUGACGGUCCCGGGAAAAAAAGCCCCGGCUACCCCCGUG
rnacentral:rRNA from 1 species